UACAGAGGUCUCAAGCGUUGUUCGGAUUCAUUGGGCGUAAAGGGUGCGUAGGCGGCGCGGUAAGUCGGGUGUGAAAUCUUGGAGCUUAACUCCGAAACUGCAUUCGAUACUGCCGUGCUUGAGGACUGGAGAGGAGAAUGGAAUUCCCGGUGUAGCGGUGAAAUGCGCAGAUAUCAGGAGGAACACCAAUGGCGAAGGCAGCUCGCUGGGACGGUACUGACGCUGAGACGCGAAAGCGUGGGGAGCAAACAGG
rnacentral:rRNA from 1 species